rnacentral:rRNA from 1 species
UACGUAGGGUGCGAGCGUUAAUCGGAAUUACUGGGCGUAAAGCGUGCGCAGGCGGUGAUGGAAGACAGUUGUGAAAUCCCCGGGCUCAACCUGGGAAUGGCGAUGGUGACUGCAAGGCUAGAGUUUGGCAGAGGGGGGUAGAAUUCCACGUGUAGCAGUGAAAUGCGUAGAUAUGUGGAGGAACACCGAUGGCGAAGGCAGCCCCCUGGGUCAAAACUGACGCUCAUGCACGAAAGCGUGGGGAGCAAACAGG